GAUGGAUAAAUUCACCACCACCCUCCACUUCCUUCAAUUUCAUCCUCUUUGACCACCACCACUACCACCCUCUUCUUCUUCGUCUUCCUUUCUUUUCGUUUCUUAUACCCUGUAUCCCUACGGUUACUGUAACCCUAAAUACCAAAUUAGCUAACUUUGAGUAUAGCUUCAAUUUCAUUAUCUUCCCAAUUUCGAUUUUAAAUCCACAUAGAAACAUAAUUUCACUUUAGGUUAGUAAAAAAUUUAUUGAUGGAUUAACGUCGCAGCACAUGACUUGGUGUUUUGAAUUGAUUUCUAACCUCCAACCCUAAAUACCAAAUUCGAUGGAUCAACGUAGAGGCCCAAGACUAUUGGAGCUAGCUCCAAUUCCAGAGCAAGCCGAGAGUGAUGCGGACGAAAAAUAGUUGUUGCGGAAUGCUCAGUAUAAAGUGAAACAAGAGAAAAUGACAUUCGAUGAAAGACAAACACUGAAGGAAAGAUGUCGUCUUGAUUAUCGCAAACGAAUUGAAGCCAGUAAAAUUUAUGAUGUCGGUUCAAACAUCAGAAUUGAUGGCGGAGGUCCAGAGUUCAUGCGAAUCACUCGACGGUUGAAUGAGGACAUUAAUGAGGAAUGGAUAUCCGGAAAAACAUGUUUCUAUUAUGAUGGACUGAAAAGGCAGAGGUUGAAUGAUCCCAUGGUUCGUUGUCCUGACGGAUUCAUUGCAAGGUAUAACUUCGGGUUCUCAUCCACGUCGAAAUCCAAGAAUUUUUGAGCUAGCUCGAUUUUGAGUGCUACAGAAAUAUUAAGAAACACGAUCCCAACAAAGAGAUGCUCACUUACAACAGCGCCGUCUUCUUUACGGAUUAAAAUAAAAUUCAAUGACUGUAUUCAAACAAAAAGCGCUUUUAAAAAAACAUAAUUGGACGCGGACACACAUCGGAAACAAGGAACAACUCCCUACUACCACUCAAUUUCGGCCGCAAGACCCUGAAGUGGGAACCAGUACAACAACAACCCUACAAGUGUCUAACUCGAAUGGAGAGCAUACACCAGAAUCAAGUAAUGGUAAGUUAAAACAAAUUACGCUUUCUCCAUGUUGGACGGAUGAAUUGUUCAAAAACAUUCAGGGACUUAUUUUCUUAUGCAGCAUGUUAGCACAACUGCCAAUCUCCAGUCUUCCCAGAGACUCUCAACAACUCUAGUCUAUAGGCUAGAAAUUAGGUCUUUUAAGUUGUUUUCAACUCUUCUUUGUUUGUUAGGAAAUAUUCAAAAUCUGUAACAAAUCUGUUGGAUUCCUAAUAUAAAUAAGAAUCAUAUCUCUACAAGAUUAUUGUGGAAGAUAUUCUACCAAAUAUCAUGUUCUAAGUUGGUAUCAGGAGGGUUCGAUCCUCAUUCUUCCGCUGUGAUCUUCACCAUCUGAUUUUAGUUUCAAAAAAAAAAAAACAUCCAAAGAGUUUUGAACUCUACAUCAUCUCUCUCUGGAGCGCACCCUUCAAUAAGCAAAGAAAAAAAGAAAACAGAAAAUACACCAUCACCACCAAACCAGGCUAAUGGAGAUGUGAUGGAUCUUUCCCCGGUUAGUAACAAGUGGAGGAAGGAUUUCUUCCCUCAUGGGAAUGAUGAAGACAAUUUGUCAAAUAAUGCUCCUGUUGAUCGUGCUCAAGUCAGGGAGAUCCACCCUGUCGAGCCUACCUGGCUGAAUGGGUUUAAUGGGACGACGAGGAGUAACGCCCAUGGGCCUGUUGCUGUGAAAACUAUUUAUGAAGCUGAAGAAGGUUAUAAUCAUCUGUUUGGAGAUAAUAAUUUUGUCACAAAUCACAAAGAUGAUGGUGGUAAAACAGUUCAACUUCAACUAAACAAAUUUCAAUACCUUUCAACCAAUUUUAAACACCUUGCAACAACAAUACCCGAACAAAUUAAUACCAUUACCAAUUUUAUCUGUUAACCAACACAGAUCAAUACUACCAAAUGAAGAGGUAUUUCGAAUAUCUCACACAACCAUUUGAAGAGGUAUUUUGACUAUCUCACACUAUGAAUUUGAAGAGAAACACCAAUUUUCUCAUACAACAGUUAAGGGAAUUUAAGGGGCCAUGAAACAGACUUCUCAAGGUUUCAAAUUCUUCGGUCCAAGUUGCACAUCCGUAAACUACAACACAACUUGAGGGGUGGUGUUAGCACAACUGCCAAUCUCCAGUCUUCCCAGAGACUCUCAACAACUCUAGUCUAUAGGCUAGAAAUUAGGUCUUUUAAGUUGUUUUCAACUCUUCUUUGUUUGUUAGUAAAUUCAAAAUCUGUAACAAAUCUGUUGGAUUCCUAAUAUAAAUAAGAACCAUAUCUCUACAAGAU